GUGUGUGUCUGUGUCUGUGUGCAUGUGUGUGUGUGACUGAAAUAGUAGUAGACUGAAUGAGAGGCUUGUAGUUGUGUGUGAGAGAGUUAAACCUGUCACGGAAGAGGCGGGACAUAUUUUAAAGAUUGGCUGGCGCAUGCGUGGAACCCAAACUGUGCAAUAUUAGGUAUAUAUGGAUUGGCCAGUAGGGGGCAGCAGGCCAGCCAAUUACCUGCUGAGCCAACAACAAUGAGCUUCGGAGAAGAAGCCGGAGCAUGGCUAACGGCAGUGAAAGUAAGGAGAGAAUCGGUCAAGCAGCCGCAAUUUUAAAUAGCAUUUUAUCAUCACCGGAUGCAACAAACAGUGUGGCCAAUGCCUUAAAAGAAAGAGCUCAUCCGGUGGCCCAUACUGAUUCUGUUGAGACAGAAUUAACAUCUUUGUUUCGUACUUGGAGCAGCUGGCCGAAGCUUAGCGGUGUCAACAGGAAAUCAAGGACCAAGUUUGGUGGCUGCUGCAGCUCCACGUUUCCAAGCCCAGCAGAGUUUUGGACUUUGGUCUACAAACAGGAAAAGAAGGUUUUUUUCUCCUGCCUUGAGAAUUCUUCCUAGGCAGAAGGGGACUGAUGGUUGAAAACAGAACAUCUCUGCUUGACACAUCGCAACCAGCAAACCCACAAUCCCAAUGAAACUUCCUGUUGUUCAAUAGCUUCUGGUUUAACAUUGUACAAAAUGUGGCAAUAGAAUCUAUCUUUGAGGAGGAUGGACAUUUUGGAGUUGAUCAUGAGGGGCCCUUACCUGAUAUUCAGACCAGCAAUAAUAUUGUUAUUCCAGAUAUUGCUGUAGGUAUAAAUGCCACAACAGUUAAUUUGAUGCACCACACUUUUGAUCCCCUGCAAAAUGAUGGAAAAUAUGGCAUUGAUUUUCCUGCUCUGUAUUGACUUUUGUUGAACAACAUCAGUGGUAAUCUUCAGAAUUUUGUUUCCAUUGUAUGUGUUAAAAGUGAAGAUAAAGACUGAAUGUUUUAAAAACGAUUGUGUGCUUCUGAUUAACCCGGAUGCUGUAUUGUUCAUUAAACCUGUACUAAACUACAAGUGAAUGUUAUAAGAUAUGUCAAACACCAAGGUUUAAUUUAAGCUCUGCACACUCCCUGAAUGUUCAGUGGGCGUGUUAACUGACAAACUCACUGUUGGGCAACUUAGUUUUACAGGCCCAACCAGAACUGAUUUUGAUGGUGAUAGCUAAUAAUUUUCAUGCAACACAUUAAUUAAAUUAACAUUCAAAGGUAGAACUUGU